rnacentral:lncRNA from 1 species
GUCCGCUUCACUCACAUCGUUUGUGUUUCUGGUGUUGCUCCAUAAAACAUAAAACAAGCCUUCUGGGAGGCCGAGGCUUACAGGGAGCAUGCUUUCAAAUCUCAACUCCGGCCAUUCACAGCAAGCUAAAUUUAAUCUGGUCCAAGUGAAGGGAACGUGGAUCAGACAACCUGAGCAGAGCCAGCUGGCAGAAGGAAAGUUAUCAGAUGCUGAAAUCAGUCAGAACAAGUCAGAAAAUGGACUUUUGUGGACGGUGGUCAGCCCCAUCAUAUUCAGCUACAGAGUCAUCCAGUGCAGAAACAUAUUGGAUCCAGGAAAUGAUACGCUGCUCUGGGGUCAUUUAGGAGAUGAGGAGCUAAAAGAUGGCUCUGAUGAAGCACCGCGGCCUGUUCGAGCUGCUGGAGGCCGAGGGGAGGAAGCUGCUGCACACCAAGCUGCAGUCAUGUGA